UCUGUCUUUCUGAUAGGGGUGUGAAUGCU
rnacentral:piRNA from 1 species